UGACGGACGUGAUUUGAACACGCAGCCCUUCUGAUCUGGAGUCAGACGCAUACCGUUGCGCCACGAGUC
rnacentral:tRNA from 13 species